AGUUCGUGGUAUGGACAAUUCCUUAGCAUUGUCUUAAAACGUUCUCAAUUCUCAUAAAGGAUUUCACCUUUGUAUUGUUUAAAAUUAGUUAUUUUUCGCCAAAGUU
rfam:Gossypium hirsutum cultivar TM-1 chromosome 1, whole genome shotgun sequence